CCGGCGACCGGCGGACGGGUGCGUAACGCGUAUGUAACCUACCUUUGACAGGGGGAUAACAUUGAGAAAUUGGUACUAAUACCCCAUAACAUCACCGGAGGCAUCUUCGGUGGUUGAAAACUCAGGUGGUCAGAGAUGGACAUGCGUUGUAUUAGCUAGUUGGUGAGGUAACGGCUCACCAAGGCGACGAUACAUAGGGGGACUGAGAGGUCAACCCCCCACAUUGGUACUGAGACACGGACCAAACUCCUACGGAAGGCAGCAG
rnacentral:rRNA from 1 species